AUGCGUCGAAGAUAUCUGGAUGCAAUGGCUUUGGUCCAACGGUUUGGGAAACCAGACAUAUUCCUUACAAUGACUUGCAACCCACAUUGGGAAGAGAUAACUAGAGAACUAGCAGAAGGUCAAUCACCACAUGACAGACCGGACUUGAUAGCACGAGUCUUCAAGGCAAAAUUGGAGGAUUUAAAGGAUCUUUUGUUUAAGAAGAAAUUCUUUGGUGAAGUUGCUGCACAUGUGCACGUAAUUGAAUUUCAGAAAAGAGGUCUACCACAUGCACAUUUUCUAAUAAUUCUGAAAUCAAACUACAAGAUAACUAAUCCGGACCAAUAUGAUGAGAUAAUAUCAGCUGAAAUUCCUGAUAAUGAUAAAUAUCCUAUGCUGCAUGAUUUAGUUAUUAAGCACAUGAUGCACAGCCCAUGUGGAGUUCUCAACAUAAAUAAUCCUUGCAUGGAAAAUGGAAGUUGUCCGUAUCAUUAUCCUUGA
rnacentral:rRNA from 1 species